UACGUAGGGGGCAAGCGUUGUCCGGAUUUAUUGGGCGUAAAGCGCGUGUAGGCGGCUUGGUAGGUCAGCUGUGAAAACUCGAGGCUCAACCUCGAGAUGUCGGUUGAAACCACCUUGCUAGAGUCCGGAAGAGGAGAGUGGAAUUCCUGGUGUAGCGGUGAAAUGCGCAGAUAUCAGGAAGAACACCCGUGGCGAAGGCGGCUCUCUGGGCCUUACCUGACGCUCAGGUGCGAAAGCUAGGGGAGCGAACAGG
rnacentral:rRNA from 1 species